GACGAACGCUGGCGGCGUGCUUAACGCAUGCAAGUCGAACGGUAAGGCCCUUCGGGGUACACGAGUGGCGAACGGGUGAGUAACACGUGGGUGAUCUGCCCUGCACUUCGGGAUAAGCCUGGGAAACUGGGUCUAAUACCGGAUAGGACUCCUGGCUUCCUGGUUGGGGGUGGAAAGCUUUUGCGGUUUGGGAUGGGACCGCGGCCUAUCAGCUUGUUGGUGGGGUAAUGGCCUACCAAGGCGACGACGGGUAGCCGGCCUGAGAGGGGAACCGGUCAAACUGGGACUGAGAUACGGCCCAGACUCCUACGGGAGGCAGCAGUGGGGAAUAGUGCACAAUGGGCGCAAGCCUGAUGCAGCGACGCCGCGUGAGGGAUGACGGCCUUCGGGUUGUAAACCUCUUUCAGCUAUGACGAAGCGCAAGUGACGGUAGUAGCAGAAGAAGGACCGGCCAACUACGUGCCAGCCGCCGCGGUAAUAC
rnacentral:rRNA from 1 species